UACGGGGGAUGCAAGCGUUAUCCGGAAUCAUUGGGCGUAAAGCGCCUGUAGGUUGUUUAAUAAGUCUGUUGUUAAAGACUAGGGCUCAACCCUAGGAAAGCAAUGGAAACUGCUAGACUUGAGUAUGAUAGGGGUAGAGGGAAUUUCUAGUGUAGCGGUGAAAUGCGUAGAUAUUAGAAAGAACACCGGUGGCGAAGGCGCUCUACUGGAUCAUUACUGACACUCAGAGGCGAAAGCUAGGGUAGCAAAAGGGAUUAGAUACCCCAGUAGUCCUAGCCGUAAACGAUGGAUACUAAACAUUGCGUGCUCGCCGUGGUGUUAUAGCUAACGCGUUAAGUAUCCCGCCUGGGGAGUAUGCUCGCAAGGGUG
rnacentral:rRNA from 1 species